rnacentral:rRNA from 1 species
UGGGGAAUAUUGGACAAUGGGCGGAAGCCUGAUCCAGCAACGCCGCGUGAGGGAUGACGGCCUUCGGGUUGUAAACCUCUUUCAGUACCGACGAAGCGAAAGUGACGGUAGGUACAGAAGAAGGACCGGCCAACUACGUGCCAGCAGCCGCGGUAAUACGUAGGGUCCGAGCGUUGUCCGGAAUUAUUGGGCGUAAAGGGCUCGUAGGCGGUUUGUCGCGUCGGGAGUGAAAACAGCGGGCUUAACUCGUUGCUUGCUUUCGAUACGGGCAGACUAGAGGUAUGCAGGGGAGAAUGGAAUUCCUGGUGUAGCGGUGAAAUGCGCAGAUAUCAGGAGGAACACCGGUGGCGAAGGCGGUUCUCUGGGCAUUACCUGACGCUGAGGAGCGAAAGUGUGGGGAGCGAACAGGAUUAGAUACCCUGGUAGUCCACACCGUAAAACGUUGGGCGCUAGGUGUGGGGUCCUUUCCACGGAUUCCGUGCCGUAGCUAACGCAUUAAGCGCCCCGCCUGGGGAGUACGGCCGCAAGGCUAAAACUCAAAUGAAUUGACGGGGUCAUAGC